rnacentral:lncRNA from 1 species
AUGAAGGGCCAGUCAGCUUUUUUCCCUAUGCUUAUUUUGCUUCUCUUGGUUUUCUCUCUUGGUAUAUGCAUGUCCUUUUUUAUAUAUAAUAUUAGGCUUUUUGGUUCACAAUCUGAAUUCAUGCUUGGUUUAUGGCUUCACAUGUCUUAACCUUUUUUUUUUUCUUUUUUUUUUUUGGGUGGAUAUUUAGGUAAAAUGCAAGGAGAGGCACAAACAUGCUCCUUCCCUACUAUUCCAAUUAUGAACUGCUCAAAGCAAUCCUGUAUCUUAACCUGCAUUCAACAAUAUGGCGGAAACAUCAAUGGCGGAUGCAUCGACAACGAUACGUGUUGUUGCAAGAAUUGA